UAAAAGCAUACGUGACAAAUUUGCAGGAUUCACACAGCCUUUGUCUCCUGUUCUUUUUGAAGAAAAUCUGGAUGAUCGUGACAUUGACGUUAUUGGACAGACCAGAGAGAAAUCCUGCUACUUUGCUGAGAACUCAAUUCAACAAGAAGUAAACCCCAUGUAUGAGUCCUUGACUGGCAACCCAUUUCAGAGUCAUCAGUCAAGCAGUUAUGUAUCCUUGACCAAGGAGAUGUUUGGGCAUAUGAUGUUCCACUGUCUGGAGUGCUCCAGUGAGUGUCGGAUCCGAGGGAAAGGCAGAGGUGAGAAUCUCACUUUCAGACAAGAGUGCCUGAUCUGCUGUAACUACAGAGUGUGGACCUCUCAGGCAGCCGUUCUA